CUCUCUUUCUACCUCUCGGAGGGGUGUGUCAAGGGUGCCAUAUGGGAUCUCAGAAAUAUGGAAGUGGAUCGGAGAUAGACGAGAGGAAUCUUUCAUUCUCUGACUUGGAUGUGGGGAUCUUUGGGGAAAACUGACACCGGGUAACAAAAUAUCCUGAGACAUGCUCCAUGAUGGGUGCCUGGACUCCUCUCUGUCUCGCUGUACUCAAAAGCCCUUCAUUCCCCGUGUUCUUCCAGAGUGAGGAGGAGGAGGAAGAAAGGAAAGAAGGCGUGGGGGUCGAAGUGAAAAGGAGGGGGCGUUUCGAUCUUCACCCACUCGCUGGUCGAAAGCGGUGGCUGUUAAUCAGCUGACAUGGCUGCUGGAUUUUGUUCCUAAUGCAGGAACCUCAGCGGCGAGGCGGAGCGCAGGAUAGCAGGAUUGAACUCCACCAUCAAUCUGAAAUUAUUUCAUCAAACCAUC